rnacentral:rRNA from 1 species
UACAGAGGGGGCAAGCGUUAAUCGGAAUUACUGGGCGUAAAGCGUGCGCAGGCGGUUUUGUAAGUCUGUCGUGAAAGCCCCGGGCUCAACCUGGGAAUUGCGAUGGAGACUGCAAGGCUUGAAUCUGGCAGAGGGGGGUAGAAUUCCACGUGUAGCAGUGAAAUGCGUAGAGAUGUGGAGGAACACCAGUGGCGAAGGCGGCCGGCUGGGCCUUGACUGACGCUGAGGCGCGACAGCGUGGGGAGCGAACCGG